rfam:Niastella koreensis GR20-10, complete genome.
GGCGGGGAAGCCGAAAACCGUUAAAAUAGAGUAGGCC